rnacentral:snRNA from 1 species
GUGCUCGCUUCGGCAGCACAUAUACUAAACUUGGAACGCUACAGAGAAGAUUAGCAUGGCCCCUGCACAAGGAUAACAUGAAGCAUUCCAUAUUAAA